rnacentral:rRNA from 1 species
GUCCUGGCAGUAAACGGUGCGCGCUUGGUGUGGGCGGAUUCGACCCCGUCCGUGCCGGAGCAAACGCGUUAAGCGCGCCGCCUGGGGAGUACGGUCGCAAGAUUAAAACUCAAAGAAAUUGACGGGGACCCGCACAAGCGGUGGAGUAUGUGGCUUAAUUCGAUGCAACGCGAAGAACCUUACCUAGGUUUGACAUGCAUCUCUCAAGCGGUGAAAGCCGUGGAGCGCAGCAAUGCGCAAUUUGCACAGGUGCUGCAUGGCUGUCGU